GGCUGAGGUCGCGGAAAUCAUCAGUACCUCCGGGGUCUGGCAAUUGCCCCGGCAGGGAAAGGGCUUUUCGCCGAAGGAUCUGCCUGAUGCCACGCAGGCAAAUUCUGGGGCUGCGCAGAAGAUGCGCAGAACUGUCAUCGGAAUCGAUGUUGUGCUGCCG
rnacentral:ncRNA from 1 species